UACGUAGGGGGCAAGCGUUGUCCGGAAUCAUUGGGCGUAAAGCGCGUGUAGGCGGUUCGGUAAGUCUGCUGUGAAAGUCCAGGGCUCAACCCUGGGAUGCCGGUGGAUACUGUCGGGCUAGAGUACGGAAGAGGCGAGUGGAAUUCCCGGUGUAGCGGUGAAAUGCGCAGAUAUCAGGAGGAACACCAAUGGCGGAGGCAGCACUCUGGGACGUGACUGACGCUGAGACGCGAAAGCGUGGGGAGCAAACAGG
rnacentral:rRNA from 1 species